AUUCCCUUUUGUUUUUAUUUCCAUUUCCUUUCAGCUUUUCCCAUUCCUUUUUUCAUUUCACGUUUCAUUUCUCUUCUCUGCUCGCCUUCAAUUUUUGAUGUCGGACAUCUUACGGUCCAGCCACAAGCACUCACGACUCAGUUGCCGAAAAUAACGUCACACGGUUCAUCCAUCACCAAGAACUCACGAGCUGCUCUUUUUCGUUCUCUUUGGGAAAAACUCCAAAUCUCUUUUUAUUUUAACUUUUUAGGUUUAGUUGUUUAUGGGAUGUGACUAUAUAUGACAAAAACAAAUCAAUAGAAUGAUGCAAUACCUUUUUUAGAUUGUUUAUGUUAUGUAAUACCUUUUUUAUAACAAGUUUAGUUUGAUAAUAAUCAUUUUGAUAGUUUAGUUUGAUAAUAACCAUUUUGAUAGUGAUUAGUAGAUGUAGAGUUGAUAAUAACAAUUUUAGGUUUAGAAGUUAUGUGAUUUUUUUGUGAUGUAAUGUCUUGUUUUUUCUUUCACUAAGCUUAUGAUAAUGGGUGGUUCUUAACAAUGUGACACUCAAGUGUUUAGGAAAUGUAAGGACUUUGAAGGAGCACAAAAGGUGUUUGAUGAAAUACUUCAAAGAGGAGUAAAGCCAAAUAACAUUACAUUUACUACUAUGAUUAAUUUUGCUAGAAUGACUUGAUAAGGCUGUUGAGUGGUUUGAGAAAAUGUCGGAUUUUGGGUGUGAACCUGAUGCUAUCACUUGCUCGACUAUGGUGUGUGCUUUUGCGCGUACUAAUCAUGUUGAUAUGGCUCGACGUUUAUAUGAUCGUCCAACAGUGGAGAAAUGGAUAAUAAUUAAAGACCAAGGAACUAGGAAGCAAACAUUAGGCCUAUCCACAAAUUAAUCUACACUGUAGUUCGGAGUCUUCCCACCCUUGUUUGGAGACACCACAAUUCAAAAGUAAACGCAAGUUCUAAUUCUCAUAAUUAACGAGUAAAGUUCACCUUGA